rnacentral:lncRNA from 1 species
AGACUCAAGACUCGAAAACAGAAAGUAAGCAGAAAUGAAUGCCCCCAUUCCUAAGGCCUGAAAAAAAAAUCAGUGGUGACUACGUGAGACGUGCAGGUUGUAAAGCAGCUUGCUCUUUUCUCUGUUUGUUCAGAGAGAGGAGAGGAAGAAACCUUCACAGGAGCUUAACCGGGUAGAGGGCAUCUAAGCCCAGCGCCUAUAUUUGCAGUACA